rnacentral:rRNA from 1 species
AUACGUAGGGGGCGAGCGUUGUCCGAAGUCACUGGGCGUAAAGCGCGCGUAGGCGGUCUUUUAAGUUGGAUGUGAAAUCCUGCGGCCCAACCGCAGAACUGCAUCCAAAACUGGGAGACUUGAGGAUGGAAGAGGGCAGUGGAAUUCCUGGUGUAGCGGUGAAAUGCGUAGAUAUCAGGAGGAACACCCGUGGCGAAGGCGGCUGCCUGGUCCAUAUCUGACGCUGAGGUGCGAAAGCCAGGGGAGCGAACGGGAUUAGAUACCCCGGUGGUCCUGGCCGUAAACGAUGGAUACUAGGUGUAAGUGGUAUCGACCCCACUUGUGCCGUAGCUAACGCAUUAAGUAUCCCGCCUGGGGAGUACGGCCGCAAGGUUGAA